rnacentral:misc_RNA from 1 species
GGGGAUUCAAACUACUAGUAGUGCUAAUGUGCAGAGACGGUGAUGGGCCAUACAUAUAGGCAUGUUGUUGUUGCUGGUACUGAGGUUGUGGAACGGCAAAAGAAGAAGUUGCAGCACCGAAACCACCUGAAUCUGGCAAAAGUCCGAUACUUCCCCUAGGGGUUAUGGGGCUUGGAUGGGUGUGUUGCCCUUCAUAGGUUGUAACAACUAUGGUGGGAUCUUCAGAUGAUCGCUCUACUCUCUUCUUAACCCCACAUCCUGCGCUAGUGCAACGAUAAUAGCUCCUUGGAUAAGGGCUGUUUUUCACUGCUUUUUGGCCGUACUUCCUCCAUCUAUACCCAUCAUCUAGGUGAUCAACUUCGCUCUUUGUCAUGAAGGCAAAUCUUGGCUCUCUUUGCCUUUUCUGGUUCUUCUUUUUGGGUUUCAACUGUUU